rnacentral:lncRNA from 1 species
GAUUGUACUCUAGCUAUCUGAAAUCAAUUAUCAAACUACAAAACAUCAAGGCUUACUACUUCCAUCUUAAUUCAACACAUAAUCCAUUCUAUGACUAUCAAUUCAACAAUACUUCCAUAUUCUUAUCAGUUCAUCUCCCACUUACUCUCUUUGUGGUUUAAAUAUAUUCAAUUACUGAUCUCCAGCUUACUUAUUAUAUUCAAUUUCUCAAUUCAUCACAUAAAAUUUAAUAUCUUCACUUAAUACAAUACAAUUCAAUAAUCUCAAUUUUCAAAGUCAUAGAUUUUCUUCAAAACGGUCAAUUCAAAGUCAUAUUCCACAGUAUUCUAAUCACAAUUUCAACAAUAAUUUUUUCAAUCACAAUUCUUCAUAAGCAAAUAAUAAAAGCAAAGAAAAAAAAGAGGUAGCACCAAGCUUACCCCAACUUACGACUCUCAUGGUCUGGCCCCAAUCUCUCACUUUUUAACCUCUUUAUCCUACCAAAAGAUGGACCAUCAGCUAGCAAAUUCCAAAGGUUAUGAUCAUUUCAAUUCUUAACCAUUUGUUCUAUUAACCUACUGUUAUCAACUAAACUGACUAACCAUUAGUCUAAUUCUCAAGGUUAACAAUAACCAACUAAUAACUUACUACAAAAUUUAUUUGCAUAUUCUACAUAGCCCCACUCCUAAUUGUGCAGCAUCCUCGCAAACACACAAUUGUUACCUAUCUAAAAACUACUUAACAAAACUCUACAAAGUUAAUAUUUCCUCUGGCCCACCCAAUUAAUCAUUUGCUACAUUAUCAAAUAUAGGUUCCACCGAUUCUAAUUCUAAAUUCAAAUCUUCCUCCUCUUCUAAUCUGUCCAUUGAUUCCUUCUUCAACUGAUUUGAGAGAUCUUCAUUAUACUCUCCCAAUUCACGGACUUAAGCUUCCAGUUUUAAGAUUUGGA